rnacentral:lncRNA from 1 species
ACUUAUUUUAUGUAUUAGACAACACGGGGGAAAUGACAUUUGGGAUUAAUGAGGCAUGUAAUCAUAAUUACAUGGCUGGUUCAUCAUCCUACGUCCCAAAUCGUGCCUGAAAUCAGCGAAUGGUAUAACCCAUGUCGAGUCUCAGUGCAGCCCCAUAUUCUUGCUUGGAGUGAGGGUUCCAUAGCUUACCCAUCAAGGUCAAGAAGCAUCUAGUCCUCUAGCAAAAAGCAAAUCAGGCUCUGACCAAUAGCAGCCUCAGGAUCAGGAAAGAUGCUAUGUGUCUUCCACUCUCUGUUCCCAGUUUGGAAGGUGGCAUGACAUGCAGGAAAGCUAAUGUCACAAGACACUGGUGUCUCCCCCGCCCCCCCCACGGGCUUCCCCUGGCUCAAAGCAGUGUAAAAUGUGAAUGAAGGAAUCAGGGAACAGUGUUGAUUAAACAGCAACCAUGUACCAGAGACAUGCCAGCCGGGUUUGUACUAAUAGAUGGAGCAGAGCAUUUACACAAAAUAAAUGCUCAGUAAAUCAGUUUUGAGAUACACGUGCAUUCAUGCACUUGUGUGUAUGUGUAUGUUUAUACAUACAGGUAUUUCUGGAAGUACUGAGUAGUGGCAAAGAACCUGAAGUUUUGCAUUCCAUGGAUUUGGCCCUGUGCCCAGGCAUCACAUCAUUAAAUACAGGGACUCAUUGAUGAGUUUUGCACAACUUUUCCAUUUUACUGUUGUUAAUAUUCUGCUCCUUUCUUACAACUUCUGUUGCACUCUCAUGGUCCUCAAGGAAGAGGAUUGUGUCAUUUUCUUGAAAAAGCCAUCGCUGCGCAUGAACUCUCCAGGAUCAUUUUGCUGUGGAAUCACUGUGCAUUUUGACAUUCGGCCUAAACCUUUCAUGGUGAUGGUGGUUUAUGCUCCUGCCUAUGGAAAGGAAGCAUGGCAGGUAAACAAAGUUACAGUGAACCAGCAGGAUGACCUGCUGGAUGCCAUCUGGGGCCUGCUCCCCAUGGGUGGGGCGGGGGGGGAAGGCCACUCACACAUGGCUGGCAGUGAACUGGCAUGUGCCCCAUCCCCUGUUCACCAUGAGAGUGGACAGCCGCCCUCUGCCCAAACCCAUUUCCACCCCGGAUUUUCUAUGGCAUUUCGGGUUCUGGGGGUCUGUGCCCCACAGAGGAGCUCUCUGACAGUUUGUAUGAGGUCUGAUGUGACAGAGAACCAACCCUUGCCCAGCUCUGUCUCCAGUCACAAGAACUAGUCCUGCUACCUCAUCCUCUUUCCUGAAGUUAAAAUGAUAGUAUCUGUAUAACACGACUCAGAGGUCUAGCAGGAAACAGUGGCACAUUCAGUAAAUUCCAAGAGCCAACAGGGGAUUUCCAGCCCCUCAGGGACUAAUGAGGACAGUGGGUGACUAGACACAAAUGGGGGUAGGCUGGGGGCAGGGAAAGAAGGUUCCUGGAAGCUGGCAAGUGCUGGCCCCGUGGAAGAGGCCCUGAUGGGCAGGAUUUGCAGCCACGAAAGAAUCUGCUCCUGCCCAAACUAGACAGCGAGCAGUGAGGAACGAGUACCCCAGCCUCCUAGGCGUUUGUUCUCUGAUCAAGGAGCCACCUUUUGCUGGAGCCACCUUUGCUUGGUCACUGCUGUGCGAGAGGGCAGAGUAGCUGGGGUGAUGCCACAAAGGGCAGCCUCCCGCCUUCUGUCGGCAGAGGGGCAGAGAAGGCAGAGUGGAUUUGCAGAACUGACAGGGCAAACAAAACACAAUCACCUUCUUUCCUCUUUUCCUGCCCUGGUUUCCCCCAGUUACUUCUUCCUCAUUUUCACAGACUUCUCAAAAGUGAGCUCCCUCCACUUGCCCUCCUCCCCUGAUGCCUUAACUCAGUGACUCAGGCAUCUGCUUCCACUGCUGCUGGGAGAGGCGGUCUCUUCAGCAAGGUCACACGUUCCUAUGGCCAAACUCUAUUAGUUUUUCUAAGAGCGAUUCUUCUGAACUCCUGUUAAAAACCUGCUUCCUCUGUGGUUUCUAAUGGCUCUGCCCUCUGGCUUUUUCCUUCAAGCUCUCUCCUCAGUCACUUGUGUGGAAUCCUUUCUCGUUUCUCUCCUUCCUUUGCAUUUAGGUAUCAGCCAGUUUUUUUCUGUGAUAACUGCCUCGCAAACAACACCAGAAUCUUAGUGCCUUGCAGUCACUGAUCUGAAAAGACUGGUUUUAUAUCUCAGAGCAUCAUGGAUGGGGAGCUUUUCCCUGGAGUCAUGUUUUAGUUGUGGAUUUGUGUUACUUUUUUUUUUUUCAUGCAAAUUCUGCUUUCUGUUUUAAUUUGCCUAGAGCCUGGCUUAAAGUCCUUCUUUGAAAAAAAAUUUUUUUUAAACUAUUCCUGGAAAGAAUUUUUUUUAAGUGAUCUUAAGAGUCUCGGGGCUGGGGGAACCUACUCUCUCAUGCCUCUAGAGAGCCCAGUAGUCUUUUCUCUCUUUAGAUCAGCUUCAAUGUUCAGAAAAUAAAAACACUAUUUUUCUAAUGUUGAUGCUUAGCAUUUGACAACUAAUCUAUAUUAUGUCUCAGCUGGGCCUCCAAAAGGAUCAAAAUUAUUAGUGUUUAGAAACAAAACAUAGCAUACAAAAGUACUUUUACAGUAUCCCCCCCCCCCAAGACCUGGCUUUCUGGUGGAUGCCAGAAACCACAGAUAGUACUGAAGCUUCUAGAUGCUGUUUUUCCCUAUGCCUACAUAGCCAGGCUCAGUAAGAGAGUAAUAAUAAAACUAAUAAAAUAAAAGGAUUAUAACAGUAUACUCUAAUACAAGUUAUAUGAAUGUAACUGUCUCUCUCUCAAAAUACCUGAUGUAUCUGCUCACCCUUCUUAUGAGGAUCUGAUAUAAAAUAUCUGUGUGAUGAAAUGAAGUAGAUGAAUGAUGGACAAAGCUUUGUGACAUAGCACCAGGCUCCUUCUGACUUUCUGGAGACAUCAAGAGAAAGAUCACCGGCUUUGGAUGAACAUGGCUCGUUGAGCAAUUUAAACCCUGUGAUUUGUUUCUUUCUAGAAUGUCCUGUGUAAUGCUUUCAAAAUGGGCUUGAUGUGGGUACCUGUUGCCAAAAUUUGGCUUCUGUCCACGUGCUGAAUUGAAAUGCAGAGACAGAGAUUUGAGUAAAGGAAACAAAAAAAAAAAGCUUUUAUUGCUUUGCCAGGCAGAGGAGGCUGCAGCAGGCUAAUGCCUUAAAGACUGAGCCUUCCAUUGGGAAGGGUCAAGGGAAGUUUUAUAGUAAAAGGGAGAACAGUGGGUUUCUGGAUGAGAAUCAGGAGUGAAGGCAAAAUGACAUUCUUCUUUCUUUGGGGGGACUCUUUAGUUAUCAAGGUUGGUGUCGUGCGAUCUCAUUGUGACCCCGGUGAUCUUCUGGGUUAUUGUGUCUGGAUCUUUCCUGGAAAUAAAAGUACUUGCUAGAAGGGCAUAUCGGUUAGUGAUUAGGGCCAUUGAGGAAGGUCCUCCAAAGAAACAUCAUGUGCUUAUAAUUUGUGACUCACAGGCAGUCGUGCCUAAUCUAUAGCUUACGGGUGAUUGUGUUUAAGGCGCAAUUAAGCUAGAGAGAAGGAGAAGGAAGACUCUAAGCUGUUCAGUUUUAAACUAGUCAUUUCUAAAAGAAGCAUAAAGAGGAGUUCCCGUCGUGGUGCAGUGGUUAACGAAUCCGACUAAGAACCAUGAGGUUGCGGGUUCGGUCCCUGCCCUUGCUCAGUGGGUUAAGGAUCUGGCGUUGCCGUGAGCUGUGGUGUAGGUUGCAGACACGGCUCGGAUCCCGCGUUGCUGUGGCUCUGGUGUAGGCUGGUGGCUACAGCUCCGAUUCAACCCCUAGCCUGGGAACCUCCAUAUGCUGCGGGUGCGGCCCAAGAAAUAGC